CAAGUCGAGUGCGCGUCUGUAGCAAUACAGAUGGCGCACGGCGCACGGGUGCGUAACACGUGGGCAAUCUGCCCUUCGAUGGGGAAUAUCUUCGGGAAACCGAAGCGAAUUCCGCAUAACAUUCCUUGGACUGCGGUUCGAGGACUCAAAGCCGUAAGGCGUCGAAGGAGGAGCCCGCGCACGAUUAGCUAGUUGGUAGGGUAACGGCCUACCAAGGCCUUGAUCGUUAGCUGGUCUGAGAGGAUGGCCAGCCACACUGGAACUGAGACACGGUCCAGACUCCUACGGGAGGCAGCAGUGGGGAAUCUUGCACAAUGGGCGAAAGCCUGAUGCAGCGACGCCGCGUGGGGGAUGAAGCAUCUCGGUGUGUAAACCCCUUUCGACCCGGAAGAAUGCCUCGCAAGAGGACUGACGGUACGGGUAUAAGAAGCCCCGGCUAACUACGUGCCAGCAGCCGCGGUAAGACGUAGGGGGCCAGCGUUGUUCGGAAUUACUGGGUGUAAAGGGUUCGUAGGCGGUGUGGCAAGUUGGGAGUGAAAUCUCUGGGCUCAACCCAGAGGCUGCUUCCAAAACUGCUGUGCUUGAGUGUGGGAGAGGCGCGUGGAAUUGCAGGUGUAGCGGUGAAAUGCGUAGAUAUCUGCAGGAACACCCGUGGCGAAAGCGGCGCGCUGGACCACUACUGACGCUGAGGAACGAAAGCUAGGGGAGCAAACAGGAUUAGAUACCCUGGUAGUCCUAGCCCUAAACGAUCAGGACUUGGGGUGCCACCCGUUCGGGUGUCGUCCCGGAGCUAACGCGUUAAGUCCUGCACCUGGGGAGUACGGUCGCAAGACUGAAACUCAAAGGAAUUGACGGGGGCCC
rnacentral:rRNA from 1 species